CAAUAGCGUAUAUUAAAGUUGUUGCAGUUAAAAAGCUCGUAGUUGGAUUUCUGGUAGGAGCGACCGUGCCGAACUUGAUUGUUCGAGUAUUGUGUUGUCUUCAGCCAUCCUCGUGGAGAACUUUUCUAACAUUAACUUGUUGGGAUUGGGACCCGCGUCGUUUACUGUGAAAAAAUUAGAGUGUUUAAAGCAGGCAUUAGCUUGAAUACAUUAGCAUGGAAUAAUAAGAUAGGACUUUGGUACUAUUUUGUUGGUUUGCAUACCAAAUUAAUGAUCAACAGGAACAGUUUGAGGAUAUUCGUAUGAACAUGUCAGAGGUGAAAUUCUUGGAUUUUGAUCAGACGAACUACUGCGAAAGCAUUUAUCAAGGAUGUUUCCAUUAA
rnacentral:rRNA from 1 species